rnacentral:rRNA from 1 species
UACGUAGGGUCCAAGCGUUGUCCGGAAUUAUUGGGCGUAAAGAGCUCGUAGGCGGUUCGUCGCGUCUGGUGUGAAAGUCCAUCGCUUAACGGUGGAUCUGCGCUGGAUACGGGCGGACUGGAGUGCGGUAGGGGAGAUUGGAAUUCCCGGUGUAACGGUGGAAUGUGUAGAUAUCGGGAAGAACACCAAUGGCGAAGGCAGAUCUCUGGGCCGUCACUGACGCUGAGGAGCGAAAGCAUGGGGAGCGAAC